rnacentral:rRNA from 1 species
GCAUAUCAAUAAGCGGAGGAAAAGAAACCAACAGGGAUUGCCCUAGUAACGGCGAGCGAAGCGGCAACAGCUCAAAUUUGAAAUCUGGCUCCUUUUGGGGUCCGAGUUGUAAUUUGCAGAGGAUGCUUUUGGCGAGGCGCCUUCCGAGUUCCCUGGAACGGGACGCCAUAGAGGGUGAGAGCCCCGUACGGUCGGAUUGCCGAGCCUCUGUAUAGCUCCUUCAACGAGUCGAGUAGUUUGGGAAUGCUGCUCUAAAUGGGAGGUACAUCUCUUCUAAAGCUAAAUACCGGCCAGAGACCGAUAGCGCACAAGUAGAGUGAUCGAAAGAUGAAAAGCACUUUGAAAAGAGGGUUAAAUAGCACGUGAAAUUGUUGAAAGGGAAGCGCUUGUGACCAGACUUGUGCCCGGCGUUUAGCUAGCGUUCUCGCUAGUCGACUUCGCCGGGCUCAGGCCAGCAUCAGUUCGUCGUCGGGGAGAAAGACGGUGGGAAUGUAGCUCCCUCGGGAGUGUUAUAGCCUGCCGUGUAAUACCCUUCUUCGGACUGAGGUUCGCGCAUCUGCAAGGAUGCUGGCGUAAUGGUCAUCAGCGACCCGUCUUGAAACAC